GAAGGCAAUUCGAAAGCUCCCUAGAGUCCAACAUCUCUAUGCCCCGAUUGACGGGGAGGUUGAGAAGUGAAGAUGAUGAGGUAAAGUUCAACAUGUCAAGUAAGUAAGUUUAGCUUUUAUUUUAAUAAAUAAGAUUUCCAGUUCAGAAUUUAUCUGUACCGUCUUCUGUAUCGGAAACCUGUUACGUAACCAUCUAAAAUUGUCUUCCUGAACCAAUAUAUUGUGAACAUUCAUGUUGUUUUAUAUGUGGGUGUGUAUAUAUAUAAUUAUUUGACUUUAGAUUUUGAAUGUUUCAUAUAAGAUAAUAAACAAAUAUAUGAUACUAUACUAAUAAAAUAAUGGUCAAUUUUGCAAAUUUUAACAAUUCUGCAUAAAAGAAAAGAGUAACAAUAAAUAGUAGAUGUGGUGCAAUUAUAUUGUGAAGAAAACAUGAUCUUCCUAUUCCUUUUUCUUUCUCAGAUCUGUAUUUGACCGUGCUUUCGCUUGUCAUAUGCUGUCCGGUGGGCCAAAAACAGGGGUUCAUUCAUUUCUUCCCAUAAUCAGUUCAAUGCUUUGAAAUGUAUUACUUACAUUGGAUGUCAGUGCUUCCCUUUCCAAAAAGUACCCCCAGUUGUACAAGGAGGGAAUAAGAAAUACCUUCUUCAAAUGGAGAGUUGUGGUGACCUUGGCUUUGUUUUCAUUUACCAAUCAUUAGUCAUAUACAAUUUUGUGAUCACUUCCAGUUCUAACAGUGUUGAUUCGAAUGGCAAGAUGUUUGGCUUUUGGGAUGUCAG